CGGGGCCUCCCGGGCAGGAAGUCACUCCAGGUCGGGGUUUCUGACACGGUUGCCUCCGCGAAGGUGCGCUAGGGUCCGCGGUGAGGCCUCCGGGCACAGAGUCUGCCGGCUCUUAGCGCCCUGCCCUGGAUGGGUCGCCUCCGGGAGGCGGGUGCCCCAUCCAGGUGCCCCCAGCGCGCUUGGCGCCUCGCGCUGUCGGGUCUGCGCCCAUAUUCGCCGGCCCCAGCCUUAACCAGCUGCCUGCCUGGCCCUUGAAUAAUGUUUACGGAAUUAAACGGAACAGAGGAUUUUCAGGAAUUCGGAGUCACCCCUGAGCUGAGUGGAAAUGCCGGUGGGAGACUGGAUGGAACCAGGCUAGGAAACUGAAACUCAAAAGCAGUUAUAAGUUGCCCAAGGUCACACAAGCUAGGAUAUUAAUCAUGAUGCACUUGCUUCUCAGUUCUUGAGUUGGGAUGAAGAGGAAAGUCUCCUAUGAGCUCUGAAAUCUUGCUGGGCUCAAACCUAAGACAUGAGAGGAUAGAAUGGGAAAUUCUUAUCCUCUUUGGCUCCAGAGCAGUACCAGAUGGACCACUCUUGAAAAACACUGCUUUUGAAUGUGAGCUCUGGAAUCUUCGAGUCUUAUUUUGGCCACUGCAGGAAAUUUGGCAAGUUACUUAUCCUCUCUGAUCCUUAUUUUCCUCAUCUGUAAAACAGGGUAAUAAAGUACGUACCUCACAGGGUUAUUGGGCAAA